rnacentral:lncRNA from 1 species
UUAAUUCUGACCCAAAAUAAAAUCCCAAGUUCAAAACCUUAGAGGCCCUUCCUUCUUCCUAACUCUAACGCCCCUAAGAGAACCUUAACCAGCCGCCUGCCAUGCUCUUCUCAAACAACCAACUUAACACCCCUCAUACCAGCAACCAAACGGACAUAAACAUCCACCAUCCAUGAAAAGGCCCCAUUUUCGGCCACUACUAGCCAUCAAUGACCCUCUCUGAACCCCAUCUCCUCACACCUUUCACCAGUCGCACUCCCAUCUCUUUAUAGUCGGAAUCCGACAAGAACACACCCACCGACCUUGCUUCUCGUUUUCUUUUAACGAUGUUGCUGUUCUGACAAUAACCACCAUUGAAGUGGUGAUUCCGUCCUCGCAUGUCCAUAGAUAAAAACAGGGGCGAUUUUGGAGACAGUAAAAAGUUGACACAAAUUAGGGGUUCUUCGGACAGAGAGUUGUGUAAAAUGAUUAGGUUCGAUUGAGUUGCUGUUGGUUUCGAGUUUUACUAGUGUCAUUUGAGAUCCGUUUGUCAUUCUGAUUUGGCUUGCGGUCCCUGCUCAAAUUUGUUGCCGUUGUUUUCCAUCUUCAUUUCGAGUUCAAUUAACGGAAUUCUCAUUAGAUUGUAAUCGUGGAAGAUUCAAAUAUAUCGGAAAGCAGUUCAGGUCCAAAUCUUAUCCUAUUUCUUUCUAUCUUGUGGUUGAUUUUAGAUAGUGAGACUUUAUUGCAUAUUUGGUAUGUUGUUUGUUUGCUAAUGUUUAGUUACUACAGUAGAUCUUUUAAGUUGUUCUAGAUGAUGGUUUAAGUUUAAUUGUAUAACUUGAGUUUGUAUCGUUUAAAUGUUAAACAAAGAUUAAGCUAGGAAAUGAAAGUUGUUGUUCAUAAGCUGAUUUGACAAAUUGGGCAGUGGAGUUGGGUAUUAAAAUAAAAGAUGAUUUGAGCUUAAAAUGUUAUUAUUAUGCUUUCACUAAUCGUACGGUAGGAACAUGAUUAGGCCAACAAUACCUGGGUAGGCAAUCUUUCGGAUUUUUGUUAGUUUUGAGGCGAGUGGUUGUUCCCUUUGUUAAAGUUAUCCGGGGAAUGCCCCGAAGGAUUUGUAUAUAUUUUAUUCCGAAGAAUGCCCCGUUGUAUUAUGUAAUUGGAGGCCGAAAGCGAACUCGUAAUAUUUUUAUUCUUAUUUCAUUUUUAUCUUUCUGUUAUUAGGUGGAAACGAUCUUGAGCCUCUUAUGUGUUAAUUUUCCCAUUUCUGUGUUUAUUACCUCAAUUCGAAUAUUUUAAAAGCCGACUAGAUCAAGUAUGCAACUGUUCUAGUUACUGAACUCGGGGAAUACCUAACACCUUCUCCCUGAGUCAAAUGAACCCCCUUAUCUAUAACUCUGGUGCAAACUGGUUUAAGAGUGAAAUGUGUUUCGAAGGAAAAUUAUUAUUUUAAAAAUGGUAACCUGGCACACCGAAACCAAUGUCAGGUGGCGACUCUGAAAAUCCUUUGAAACACAAUCUUUUUGUCACUUUUCAUAAUGGAAAACCCUUUCGAGCUUCAAAAAUCACUUUCAUUAUUGUAAGAGGGUUAGUGGGGUGAAAAAAUGGGUGUGACACCCUCAAGUUUUGGAAUCGAUGAUACGUGACACUCAGGCUGCAAAGACUUGUCACGGAGAAGGGGCCCACGGAGAGGAAGAUAUUUUCCUUUGCUAUUUCUCUGAUGUAGAAGAUUUUACCGGUUUGGGUGAUUUGGACGUACCAAGGAAGAGCUCGAAUGAGGCUUCCUCGAGCUAUAUAUUGACCAACCAAUUCCUGGACCCCAGCGUCGACCCUGAUCGUAAACAACCUCUUAUGAUCUCGAUCCCGGAAGAUACUCAAGUUUUCUCUUCCCUCGUAGGGGUGGAGAGAAAUUUUUAGUGCUUGGUCACCAAAGAGGAUCAGGAAAAAAUGGACGCAGUGGACGUUGCCUUUUUGUUCAACGAGGCCCAGCAUGCUCUGAAUCGGGUAAGUUCAAAGGCCGCUAUAUUUUAUGACUUUGAAUUAUAGGUAUCUCUAACACUUUCUUUCUUUCUCGUAGGCUUCAGUGGCAUCAUGAGGCCUUUUUCCGCAUCCAUGAGGAACGGAAGGCCGAAGUCCAGGAUCUCUCUAAGAAAUGCAAUACUUACAAGCUUCUUAGUGAGAAACUUCAGGUAGACCUGGUGGAGGCUCUAAAUGCGCAUAAAGAGAUGGCUAAUCAGGUAUUCCUAGUUCUUCAUGACAGUGAGGACGAGUUCGAGAUAACAACUAACAAUCAAGGUCCUUCAAAGGAAAAUAGAUAAAGUGCAAGAUGAAGCCGAACAUUUCAAAGGAUGUAUGGAUAUUUUGGCGGCACAAAAGGAUACCGUUCAAGCAUAUAUGGAUUCUGCCAAGUCACAGCUUUGAUAUGCAUAGGAAAAUGCCUUGGUCCAGGCGAAGAAGGUCGAGGAGCUCGAGUCCAAUUUAGCCAAUUUGGCCAAAGAGCUCGAGGUUGCUAGAUCUGAAGUGGCCUCGGCCAAUAUUAAUGCCAAGCCACCCUCGAGUAGGCCAAGGGCCUGGUUGAUCAUUCGAAGUGGCAGGCUCGAAGGGAUGCUCUCAAGGAGGCCCUUGCUCAAAGUAUCGACAUAUAUGCUGAACUCGAGAUCGCCAAAGCUGAUGAAGCAAAGGCUUAAAAGUUAGCAUUUUCCAAUGAGGAUUCCGAGGAUGUGAGCGGAUCUGGUAGAGAGGACUCUAAGGGCGAAGAAGCUGCUCUAGAAGAAGACUAGGACUUUAAGAUUAGAAGUGUUUCCUUUAAGGCUGUUUUGGCCUUUGUAAAGAGUUCAGAUCGGGCCAUGCCGCCCUUGUAAAUGAUUUUUGAUAUAUAAAAGAUCUUUUCUUUCCCUUUCUGUCUUGUCUUUACUUUAUUUUAUUUAUGCCUUAUGAAAUUGCAUUCAUAGGUUCAAGGUUUAGGCAAUUUUGGACCGAAACCGAACUAGUGUCGAGUGAGUACUUGCUCGAAGUCGAAGUAGGGUAGCCCAUAGGUUUUUAUUAAGUGAGGAUAAUCCCUCGAGCUCAAAAAAAAAGUUUUCCUUAGGCUUUUGUAUUAGGUUGAUGUGGCCUUUGUAAAAAAAACUAGCUUUAUCCCCUUUUUGGCUUAAAAUGUUUAUUGUUAGUUAUACAAAAUUGGUAUGUCUUAGCAUGAAAUAAAGAAUUGUUCGAGAGUUCGAACAAUUUUGUACCCUUUAGGGUUCUCGAGGCUAGAUAUUAUCGGAGCCCUUUGUGAUGUAGCCUUUUUAAAACGGUUUGUGAUAAUAUUUGAAGGCUUGUUUUAUUACGGAAUUCAGACGUCUUCAAACCGUGUUAAUUUGGCCAUAGCCUUUUUAUUUGGGACAUGCCUUUUAGGUCGAUUUUCCCGUUUCACUUCGAGCUCGCCCGAAGUGUCAGUCCCCGAGUAGGGUGGCUGUGGCCUAUAAAAAUCGAGGGUUGCCUUUAAGGUCUUAUGAUCUCAAAGUUUUAAUAAUUCGAUCUCAUUUGUUUUUUGGACGGCAGUCCUUAAGCGUGGGGUCAGUUUUUCUAACUUCUGUUAUGAUCGGCCCUUAAGCCUGUUUACACAAUAGAUCGAGUAUGAAAUUGUAGAAAAAUUUUCUAAGGCAUGAGAUAUCGGCAAGGAAAAAUACUUCUUUCAAUAGAUGAUUAUACAUGUGUACAUGUUUGAUGUUAGGGCUCGAGUAACCUAUACGGGCACGGUUCAUUCGACUGUUUGGCCCUUACAAAAUUACCUAUUGAGACCCCAUUGUUACGAAGAAAUUUCCUUGCAAUAAUUCUGACACUCGAGGGUAAUGUCCCCCAGUAUUCGAGGUUGAUUGUAAAGAAGAGUCGGAUGCUGUUGAAUUGUUCAAAGUUAGCACCAUCAAUAGUUGCAUUGUCAAAAACCUCACCGGAAAAUCCAAUUGGGACAAAACCAAUCUAAGGGAAAAAGAGUGCAACGCGUGCUUUCAGACUUAAAAACUUCGAACUGAAGGAUCCAUCGUCGUUCCUAAUCGAAAACUUGCAAUUGGUUAGUUCAAAAUAUAAACGAAAAUAGAGAAGGUCGUACCUUAGCAGUACUAUCACUUUAUGAGUGAUACAUUCUAAUUUUUUGGUAGUUGCUCGCCAUUCAUCGUGCCGAGUUUGUAGGAUCCCUUUCCGAUAAUAUCGGGGACCUGAUAUGGUCCCUCCUAAUUCACACCAAAUUUACCUUCAUUUGGGUUUCGAGUAUUGAGGGUGACCUUUAUUAGCACCAAGUCCCCUAUUUUAAAGUGUCGAAGAUUGAUUCUUCGAUUAUAGUACCUUUCGAUCCGCUACUUUUGUGCGGCCAAUAGAACGAGGGUGGCCUCGUAUCUUUCAUCCAACAAUUCUAGGCUUGUGUUUAUAGCCUCAUUAUUUGAUUCUUCAAUCGCAUAUCAAAAUCUAAGGCUAGGUUCCUUGACCUCAACCGUGAUAAGAGUUUUGGCACCACAGACCAAAAAGAACGGUGUUGCCCCGGUACUGGAUUUCAAUGUCGUGGUAUGCCCAAAAAAACCACAAGCAAUAUCUCUUUAUUUUUCCUUAGUGUCAGUCAAUCUUUUCUUAAGAUUUUGAAUGAUGGUUUUGUUGGUUGAUUCGACUUGUCCGUUCCCACUGGAAUGGUAUGGCGUUGAUAGAAUCCUUUUAGUCUUGUGAUCCUCGAGAAAUUUUGUCACUUUGCUGCCGUGGAAUUGCUUACCGUUGUCACAUACGAUCUCGGCAGGCAUCCUGAAUCGGCAUAUAAUAUGGUCCCAAAUGAAGUCUAUGACUUCUUUUUCUUUGUCUUUCUCGAAAGCCUAUACUUCAACCCACUUAGAAAAAUAAUCAGUCAUAAAUAAAAUAAACUGAGCUUUACCUAGGGCCGAAGGUAGAAGGCCGACGAUGUCCAUACCUAUUUCAUGAAUGGCCAUGGGGAUAAGACCGAAUGGAGUUGUUCCCCGAGCUGGUGAAUCAAUGACGCAUGCCUUUGACAUUUAUCGCACUUUCGAACGAAAUCUUUUGUAUCGUUUUCCAUAUCAGCCUAAUAGUACCCUGCUCUGAUAACUUUGUGAACCAGUAAUUCGGCACCGGAGUGGUUCCCACAAGUGACUUCGUGAAUUUCCUUUAGGACAUAGUCGGUGUCUCCUAGUCCCAAACAUAUCGCUAAUGGCCUAUCGAACAUCCUCCUAAAUAACGUUUCAUCAUCGGCCAAAGUGAACCGCGUUGCCUCGGUGCGUAGAUUCCUCGACUCCUUCGGAUCUGUCAGGAGUUUCCCGUUCUUUAGGUAUUCAAUGUACUUGUUCCUCCAAUCCCAUGUCAAACUUCUAGAGUUUAUUUUGGCGUGCCUUCUUCGAUUACUGAUCGAUGUCGCUAUUUUGUUCCUAAAGUAAGUGUUGUAAGGUCCAUUGUUUAAAUCGAUGUAAAGUUACCUGUAGUUUGUCCAAGUAUCUUUGCAUUCGAUCUUCUCGAACUUUGAAAGUUAUGUUCACUUAGUUUACCACAAGUAGGGAAUCGCAUUUGGCCUCGAUGACCUCUUCUCCCAAACUUUUAGCCAGCUCGAGACCUGCAAUCAUGGACUCAUACUCGGCCUCAUUGUAAUCAACUUCGAAGUAUUGAUAGACUAUCUAAUUAUGUUACCCGUGGGUGGAUUCAAAAUGAUGCCUAGCCUGGACCCUUUCACAUUCGAAGCACCGUCCGUGAAGAGGGUCCACACCCCCGAUGAUGUACCAGAUUUUAAUAGCAGUUCCUUUUUUAGGCUGGCUUAAAGUGAACCACGAAGUCCGCCAAGAUAUGGGACUUGAUGGUUGUUCGGGGUUGAUACUCAAUAUCGUACCUGUUGAGUUCCACGGCCCAUUUGGCCAAACACCCCAAAAUUUCAGGUUUAUGCAAAAUAUUAUGAAGGAGAUAGGUAGUUACAACACAUAUUGGGUGACAUUGGAAAUAUGGUUUUAAUUUCCUAGAGGCGCUUAUUAAAGCACGCGCUAACUUUUCUAAGUGAGGAUACCUAGUUUCUGCCUCGCUUAAGGCCCGACUAACAUAGUAAACAGGGAAUUGCAUACAUUUUUCUUCUCGAACUAGGACCCCACUUACCGCUAUUUUCGAGACCGCCAAGUAUAAAUAGAGUUGCUCGUCCGCUUUCAGGGUGUGAAGCAGUGGAGGGAUUGACAAGUAUAGUUUUAGUUCUUCUAAGGCUUGUUGACAUUCCGGGGUCCAUGCAAAGUUGCUCUUCUUCUUAAGCGGUGAGAAGAACUGAUGACUUCUAUUUGAGGACCUCGAGAUGAAUCGCCGUAGGGCGGCUAUGCACCCGGUCUGCCUCUGCACGCCCUUCACAUUAUCCACGACUUUGGUAUCCUCGAUAGCUUUAAUUUUAUCGGGGUUGAUCUCGAUCCCUCGAUUAGACACCAUGAAGCCAAGAAACUUGCCCGAGCCGACCCCGAAUGCACACUUUUCUGGGUUGAGUUUUAUGUUGUACCUCCUUAGUAUUUUGAAAGUCUCCUGCAAAUAUUUCAAAUGGUCCUGUGCUCGUAGGGAAUUAACUAGCAUGUCAUCAAUAUAAGCUUCCAUAGACUUCCCUAUUUGUUCUUAGAAUAUUCGAUUUACUAGGCAUUGAUAAGUUGUACCAGCAUUUUUUGGUCCGAACGACAUUAAGUUAUAACAAUAGGUGUCGUAUUUAGUGAUAAGUGAAGUAUUUUCCUAAUCCUCCGGGUUCAUCUGUAUCUGGUUGUACCCGGAGUGGGCAUCGAAAAAACUGAGAAUCUCGUGGCCGGCCGUGACAUUAUUCAUGUGAUCGAUGUUCGACAAAGGAAAAGAAUCCUUAGGGAAGGCCUUGUUCAAGUCCUUAUAGUCUAUGCACAUUCAAAGUUUAUUUCCUUUCUUAGGACUACCACUACAUUUGCUAACCAUUCGGAAUAUUUUACUUUUCGAAUGGAACCUAUUUUGAAAAUUUUGGUUACCUCGUCCUUGAUGAAUGCAUGCUUAACCUCAGACUAGGCCUUCUCUUUUGCUUUACCAGAUGGAACUUUGGCUCCAGGCUUAAUCGAUGGGUAGUGAUCUCCGGUGAGAUCCCUGUAAUAUAUCGAGACGGGACCAAGCAAAACAAUCUAUGUUAUCUAAAGGAAUUGAAUAAGUUUUUUCCAAAGCUUGGGAGUUAACCCCGUGCCUAGGUUAUACCUUUCGAUCGGCAGAUGCUCGAUCAGUAUGAUUUGCUCCAGCUCUUCGACCGUCGACUAUGUUGCGUCAGAAUCAUCAGGGAUUAUGAAAGUUCGAGGUAUCAUAUAAUCAUCAUCCUCAAAAGUUUCUUGCUUCUCUAAUCAGGCUGAGGUUGGUGACUGUGGUUGCUAUUUGACUUCCUAUUUUCCCUUUGAAUUCGAUCCCUUUGCAGAAGAAAAUGUUGACACCGGUACCACUUCAUCGAUUCUUAACAUCUCCUUGGUGGAGGGCUGCUCUCCGUAUACCGUUUUGAUUCCCUCAGAUGUCGGGAACUUUAUAAUUUGGUGAAGGGUUGAGGGUACUUCCCUUAUGUUCUGGAUCCAAGGCCUCCAGAGCAGGGCAUUGUACCUCAUGUCACUCUCAAUUACAUAGAAUUUUGUGUCCUGUAUGGUUCCGGCCACGUUCAUCGGCAAGACAAUUUCCCCUUUGGUGGUUUCACUUUCCAUGUUGAAGCCAUUAAGCACUCGAGCUGCGGGCACAAUUUGAUCUUGUAGGCCGAGACCCUUGAUCGAAUAAUGUUGGCCAAGCUACCUAGAUCGAUCAACACACAUUUAACUUGAAUUUUAUUCAUAAGGAUAGAUAUUACUAGUGCGUCGUUGUGAGGUUGUUCGAUCCCUUCUGCAUCCUCGUCAUUGAAAGACAUGGUCUCCUCCAGUAAGUAGUCCCGAGUCUAUUUUUCUCUGGUGAUUGUCACCUUGGUGCGUUUGAAUACCGGUCCUUGGGGAACAUCGACCCCUCCAACGAUCAUGUGAAUCUUGUGUUGUGGCUCUUCUUGCUCGUUCUAUCUGUUCGAAUCUUUGUUUUUGAAGUGGUUCUUGGCUCGAUGACUUAAGAAUUCUCAAAGGUGCCCCUCGUUGAACAAUCGGGCAACUUCUUUUCUUAGUUGUCUGCAAUCUUCAGUUUUAUGGCCAUGGGUGCCAUGAUACUUGACUAUUUGGUUUGGGUUUCUCUUGGUCGGAUCAGUUUGUAGAGGUCGAGGCCACCUGGUAUCUUUGAUAUGCCCAAUGGACGAUACUAUGGCGGAAGCAUCUAUGCUAAAGUUAUAUUCCUACAAUCGAGGUGCUUCUUCAGACCCGACAUCUCUAUCGAAAUAACUCUUGCUCAUGAGCACUCGGGUUCUUUAUCCCCGAUCAUUCCUUCUAUCAUUCCACGGAGUUAUGCCCAGACCCGCUAUUUAUCUCUCCCGUAUGGAUGAUAUCGGUCUCUGUUCAAUCAUGAUUUCUGAUCGACAUCCCUUUUAACUCUGUCCAUGGGCUUGUUGGGAUAAAUUGAACUGAUUGGAUCCCUUAGUUGAUCGUCUUCGACCCUAAUCUUUGAUGGAUAGCGAUUAUGUACAUCAGACCAAGUGACGACUGGAUAUUCGAUCAAAUUCUGCUUUAGUUGUUAUGAAGCUAUGGAACUCCGUUCGUUGGGACCUUGGGUGGAGGCUUGAACAACCUAAUCGUCGGUGACCGAUGGCAAAUCCAUCAGUUCCAUUUGAAAUCGAGAUACGAAUUCCCUAAGCAUCUUGUUGUCUUUGUGCCUUGCCUUGAGUAGGUCCGACUUUCUAGUUGAAAUCUUAAUAGCUCCAGCGUGCGCCUUCACAAAAGAAUCUGCAAGCAUAACAAACGAAUCAAUAGAAUUAGGUGGCAAAUUAUGGUACCAUAUCAUGGCACCGUUUGAUAAAGUUUCUCCAAAUUUCUUCAGCAACACGGAUUCAAUCUCGUCAUCUUCCAAGUCAUUUCCCUUAAUGGAGCACGUAUAUGAGGAGACGUGUUCGUUUAGAUCUGUAGUCCAUUUAUACUUUGGAAUCUCGACCAUACGGAACUUCUUUGGGAUUGGCUUCAGAGCCGCACUUGGGGGGAAAUGUUUUUGGACAAACUUUUUGGAAUCAAGUCCUUUAAAUACUGGUGAUUCCCCCGGGAUCUGAUUGACCCUAGAGUUAUAAGUUUCCACCUUCUUAUCAUUUUCCUCGAUCUUCUUUUCCCCUGACUCGAUUCUCUUUGUCAAUUCCUCGAGGAUUUUUACGAUAGUAGGAUUAGACUUUGAUUCUCCUUCAUUCGAUCUCUUCAGCACCGAUUCGGCUCUAUGAACAAUUUCUUGUGAUGGCUCGAUUUCGAUCCUGCUUGGUGCACAAUUCUGAUUUUGGAGUUGUGUUAUUGCCGCUUGUUGGGUCUACAACAUCUCGAAUAUCAUUCGAAGGCUAAUUCCCACUGCUCUGUGCGUUCUGAUCGGUUGUUCGAGCAUCUCUGCGGACAUUAUUCUUAGGGUCGACGCCCAAAUUCCCAUUAAUGACAAUAUGGGAGCUGACGUCGAUUGGGUCCAUGGCCGAAGCUCCAUCGGGGUUAACUAGAGGUACUCCAUUUUCUGGAGUGGCUAUAUUUUCGUUCUUGCCAUGAAAACCAAGGCCAUUGUCUGUGUGUGUGGGUGCUUCUUGGGAGUUUGACAUGUUGAUCCUAGAAUCAAAGACACUUCAAAGAACAAACAUAAAAUAAUGUGUGUUACGAAAAUUGUACCAGGAAAUUACUAUUAUCCUUAGCCUUAUGGUGAGCGCCAAACUGUUUACCCUUAAAAUCGGAUAACAAUUAAACUUAUAAGUGACUUUAAGGAUACGUAAUUUCACCUAACAUCAGUUGAUAAAUAUGACGAUUAAUAGUAGAGAUAAAUAACAAAAUAAAGCAAACCAGUAUUGAAAUGCAAUUCAAACCUCGAGCUAGGUCGCCCUUGAACUGAGUGAAUGAGAGUAGAGUUAGGAAACAAACUAAUGAACAAGACAAUAUAAGAGAAAAAGAGUAUUGUAUUGUUUUGAUAUGCGUUAAUGUCCGAUGAUUACAAAUGGUUAAGACCCUAUUUAUAUAGUAGAAGAAUCCUAUUUACGGUAUAAUCCUAAUUAUAGAAGGAAAUCCCAUGAUUAGCUAAACAACCACUCUUGAUUUGAUAUGUUUCGAGAUUUUCGCCAUGAUCUUCGACCAGUUACAGAUAUCUCACCUUUCCGUUAUCAUGCUAUCUUCGGUCUUUCUCGAUGUCUAUCCCGUUCGACCUCGAUUAUUACUGAUCUCGAUCGCGACAAGUACCUCGAUUCUCGAGCUCGAUACUUUAUCCUCAUGUCUCUGUCUAAUAUGCUAUGGGGUUGAUCUUCGAUCCAUCCCUCUGGUCUAGGUUAAUCAGUCAAAUCGGGUGUGUCAGGUUUUAACCGUAUACAGAACUUUUGUAUGUGUGUCAAUAGUGUGUUAAAAUGAAAAAAAUUCCCCCUUUAUAUAAUAUGAGAAUUUCAAUCCUAGUACAAGUCUAAAUAAGGUAAAAAAUUUCGUUUUCUGAAUGUCGACCUGCAAUUGCUAUCGGGCGGGAUUUGCACCAUAAUAUCCGAUUGAAGGUGAAUAUUACGGGUCCCUACUUUCCAUGCUCAACUGUUUCUCUUUUUCUCGUGGUCUCGAAAGUUUACUUGGUUCGAGUCCUUUGUUUAGUCGUGCCUGAUUCCAAAUACAUCGUUCGUCCCUUUCGAGCUCCGACACGAGGGACCUUUCGCCUUCGCUCGAAGUUACAUUGGACUGUGCUUCCUUCUCGUUUCUUUAUUGGGGAAUCAGGGAUAAUAUUGUCCUCGAUUUUACCCGUACACAAUAUUAUUCACGUUCUGGGCAAGGUGGGUGCUAAGUUACCACAUCAAAUGAGAUGUGAAUAUUUAAUCGUUUUAUAUGGGUUUUGGCUAAUUCUCACCUCAUGAGGCUAGCUUUUAGAGUUGAGUUAGGCCUAGAUCCAUUUCUUUUUCAUUAAAUUUCUCGAGGCUAAUUAAAAUUGAAAACUUUAUGCCACUUUACCAAUUUUAUAUGUAACACUAUUACUCCACAUGCUAAUUGGUGAAUUAAACAAUUAGCCAAGAGUGUAACACUCACACACAUAUAGAGACAACUGCUACUUUUCAAAAGAACAACAUUUUCUGGUAGAAUUAAUAAAUUUCAAGAAAUUCUAAUCUUGUUACCGUAAUCCAACAUCUAUAGUUGAACUUUCUGAUGAGACAAAUUUCUUAGCGUCAAUUGAAAAUUAUUGAUUUUUAAAGUAACAAAUAACUUCUUUUUGGGUACUUUAUAACAACAAUAACAACAACAACCCAGUAUAAUCCCACUUGGUGGGGUCUGAGGAGGGUAGUGUGUACGCAGACCUUACCCCUACCCUAGGGUAAAGAGACUGUUUCCAAAUAGACUUCUGACAUCCUUCCCUCCAAGAACUUCCCACCUUGCUCUUGGGGAGACUCGAACUCACAACCUCUCGGUUGGAAGUGGGGGUUGCUUACCAUCAGAGCAACCCCUUUUUGGGUACUUUAUAAGAGAGAAAAAAAAGAAA